ensembl:lncRNA
CAUACAAUGAACUACCAGAAAAUGAAAAGAAAUAUGUCCUGUUCUCAGAUGGAUCGUGUCGUAUUGUGGGGAAGUAUUGCAGAUGGAAAGCUGCUGUGUUGAGCCCCAUGCCACAAGUUGCAGAGCCCACUGAGGAAAAGAAGAAUCAAGCCAAUUUGCAGAGCGCAGGUCAUUCAAGAGUUAAUACUCCUUUCCUGUGGAUUGACAACCUUCCAGAUACUUGUGUCUCAAAAGAGAAGAACUGCAUAUCCCAGAGGACCUUACCGUCAGAGAAGGAAGGAAAGUACAAAACAUACCAAAAAAACAACAGGUUGGUAAUGGACCUUAUAUAGAAACAUAUCAUAGCAACAGCGUCGGGGAGACUGUGAGCCUGAGAUACUCAACCAAUGAGCGAGCACCGGGAGAGCAUUACCUGC